rnacentral:rRNA from 1 species
UACGAAGGGGGCUAGCGUUGCUCGGAAUCACUGGGCGUAAAGGGUGCGUAGGCGGGUCUUUAAGUCAGGGGUGAAAUCCUGGAGCUCAACUCCAGAACUGCCCUUGAUACUGAGGAUCUUGAGUACGGGAGAGGUGAGUGGAACUGCGAGUGUAGAGGUGAAAUUCGUAGAUAUUCGCAAGAACACCAGUGGCGAAGGCGGCUCACUGGCCCGUAACUGACGCUGAGGCACGAAAGCGUGGGGAGCAAACAGG